UACCUAAACAAAUUUAAAAAGUUAAGCUUUUAAAUAACUAUUAAAGAUAUUAUCCCCUUGUAGUGUAGUUUAAUAGCUAUCUACAUAAUAACUUAAUAUAAAGUAUAAUAGUUUAUAUUUUAUAAUAUGACGUUAACAAUUUUGUUUAAUAUUUGAAAAUGUUAGUAUUAGUAAUAUUAGUAUAUGUGCUAAAGGAACUCGGCAAAAAACCACUCAACUGUUUAUCAAAAACAUAGCUAUAUGCAUUAAUAUAUAGUUAUUUCUGCUCAAUGACUUAAAUAGCCGCAGUACUCUGACUGUGCAAAGGUAGCAUAAUCAGUUGGCUUUUAAUUAGAGUCUGGUAUGAACGAAAAUAUGGGUAGUAACUGUCUUAGCACAUUUUUUCGAACUUAUUAAACACGUGCAAAUGCUUGUAAUUUAACAAUAGACGAGAAGACCCUAGAAACUUGGACAAGUUUUUGUUGGGGCGACAGAAUUACACUUAACUAAUCUUAUAAUACACGACGCGAUGUUGAAAGAAUAAGUUACUCUAGGGAUAACAGCAUAAUUUCAUUAGUUUGUGACCUCGAUGUUGGACUAGGUACUAUACCCUUAAGGCAAGGAUAUAUUAUGCUCUGUUCGAGCAAAAUUACCUACAUGAUCUGAGUUCAGACCGG
rnacentral:rRNA from 1 species